rfam:Mesocestoides corti genome assembly, scaffold: MCOS_contig0000293
GCCGUAAUAGUCUAGUGGUUAGGACAUCGCGUUGUGGCCGCGAGAACCCAGGUUCGAAUCCUGGUUACGGCA